CAGAGAAAGAAGUCUGGGAAUCGACCCCUGAACAAGUGAGCCGCACAAAGACUGGAGGGUGCAACCUGUCCCCAGCCCUAUACAAAGGCAAACACAACUUUAAUAUGUAGAAAUGCAGAGGGAAGACCAGAUAUCCAACAUUGCUUCAAUGUCAGCAAAAAAACCCCCAUACAUUGAGUCCAGUGGAGUGGGGGAGCCAGGUAGGUGUGGAGGGAACAGUGUUCUACCCAUCUGAGUCACAGGGAUGCUGGUCCACACCCCCAACUCCCCGGCAUUGGGACCCUGGCCAUCCCACAGCCAAUGGAGCUCCU